CCCCCCGCAGCGCCAUGGUCGGCUCCGCGCACGCGCGGCCCCUCAGGCGGCCCCCUGGCGACGGCGGCGUGCGGGCGGGGCGUUGCCGGGGGCGCCCCCCCCGCCGCGCCCCCAUGGCCGCCGCCGCCCGCCCGCGCCAUGCAGCGGCCGCGCGGCCCCGCGGGUGACGGCGCCGGGCGGGGAGCGGCCCCCGGGGAGCGGCCCGGGCCCGGCCACGGCCACGGGCGGGCGCUGGAGGAGCCGGAGGAGCCGGCGGCGCUGAGGCGGGAGCGGCGCCGCCUCCUGCUGCGCCUGCUGCGGGCCGCCGGGCCCCGGCCCCUGCUGGGGCUGCUGCUGCGGGACCGGCGCCUGAGGCGCGGCGUCGCCGGGGAGCGGCGGGAGGCGCCGGGCGCCGGCCCCGCGGCGCUGCUCGGGCGGCCCGGGGAGGAGCCGGAGGGCGGCGGGGACGGGGCGCUGCGGGCCCUGCGGGCGCGGCUGGGCGGGGAGGCCGAGCCCGGGCUGCCGCCGCCCCCGCCCCUGCCCCCGGCCGGGCACGGCGCGGGAGCCGCCGCGGGCCGGCUGCUGGCGGGCAGCAGGGCCCGGAGCGCGCACGGCUGCUGCGGGCACCGCGCCGCGGACACCCCGCGGGCCGCCGAGCGGGGAGCGAGCCCGAGGAGAGUGCUGAGCGCCAGCAAGGGGAGGAACAAGCUGCCGUGGGACGGCCGGCGCGCCGCGGGCGAGGAGGGCGGCUCGGGAGGCGCGAUGCCCUCCGCCAAGGGCGUGCAGCAGUUCCCUCCGUCCAGUGACUUCCUUCAUUCUCCAAAGCUGAGGCUGUCUCAAGGAACACCAGGCAGUGAGGAGUUAUUUUUUAGUAGAAAAAGGCUGCCGAGGAGUUUGUUUCAGAACAGCGUAGAUUUUAACUCUGAGCAUUCUUCUGUUUGUGCCGGUGCUAUGGGCUCUCACCAGCCGCAUAUUUCAGGGAAAUGUGGAACACUUGGAUGCACACAGACACGUGGGAAGAGUGGUAGUGUGGACUCUGAUUUACAGUUUUUAGGAUUAAAUGACAGUCAGCAGGACAAAGGUAUAUGGAUUUUAACUGUCAUGUGUCAGUGCAUGUCACUUGGGAAACGUCUCUUCUGUGCUGCCUUAAGAAAUAAAAACAAUUAUCAAAAUGUUGUUCUGUCCCUACACAAACACGUUUCCCACAGUUAUUUUACUGGGCAGGUUUGCAGGGCACUGCCACGUCAGGCCAUUCUUGCUGCUAGGGACGACUCGCAGGAGAAACACUCCCCUCUGCAGCUGAAGCCCGCCUUGGUGAGACACCCAGCUUCCCGCAGAGGCCUGAAUGGGAUCAGACCCGUGCCCCCCAUACCGCGGCUCGCCAGCCCGCUGCCCGAUAAGAUCGAGUUAAGUGUGACAAAGUGGAAAAACGAGGAGUGUGAGGACACGUGGGUGAAUGGAGUGGGCAGGAAGCUUGCAGCUGAUCUUUCAGAGCUAACUCUUGAUGGCGAGGAAGUGGACCAAGAAGAGAUGCAAAGUUCACUUAGAUCUCUACGAAAUAGUGCAGCUAAGAAGAGGGCAAAGCUAACCAGCAACAUUUCAGAUCUUGAAAGUCCCGAUUCUGCUCUUAAACUCGACCUGUCUGGGGAUUCCCCUUCCCAUGCUUCCUCGCCAAGUGUGGGCUCCUGUAGCGAAAGCGGAGUCUACAGCCAGGAGUCUCUGACGUCUCCUAUAUCCACGGUUCCUCAGAGAAAGAGAAUAAUGUCAGACACCUUUCCACUGCUUGGCAAUAAAUCACAGCCUGCAAGAGUAUAUUCAGCAAGAAAUAGAGAUGCAAAUGUGGCAGAACAUAACUCAAGCACAGGUAUUUCACUGUGGACUUCUAAUGUUAGCAUAGUUGGCCAACGUCUGAACUGUGGCAAUGGAUGUGGAGAUUAUGAGGACAAGAAGCAAAAAGAAGGGUCACGAAGUAUUUUUAAAAGUCAAAAUAUGGAACAACAAAGAAAUUUUAAGCAUUCAAAAGGGUCAACAUCUGGUUUUCAACAGAUGAAUAACCUAGAUUUCAUUUCGCCAAGUGUCUUGUCUGAAGAUGCGGUUGUAGUUGUUGGUAAAGGUGUUUUUGGAAGUCCUUCUUCUGCUCAAACACAAAGCCAGCCCAUAGCAUGUGCAGAGAAUGGAGACGACCAGUCUGUCAAACAGGAGACUGAGCCACCCUCAGGGAUCUGUAGGAGAAGCAUCCAGCAGAGCAGUGCUUCUCAUUUCCACGCUGAAAAUGAAAAAGAGAUAAAAGUGGCCUUGUCAAAAUCUGUCCAGGAUAAGAUGCGGCAGAAGAAAAAAGAAGGAAAAGAACAAAAUCACAAAGAACAUCAGGAAGUCAAAGACCUUGAAGAAAAGGAAGAAAAUUCUUGGGAAAGACUUAAACUAAAUGAACCAGAGAAAACAACAACAGAAAAUGAAAUUUCUCUUGGGCCACGAGGACGCUAUAAAGAGCGGACCCCAUCAGUCACUCAUAGUCCAGAAAUAAUGGAUCCGUCAGAACUGCAGCCCUUUUCAAAACCAGAAACGGCACUGACAGAAGCCCUGGUACUUUUAGCUGAUGAUGACUGGGAGAAGAAGAUUGAAGGUCUGAACUUUGUUAGAUGUUUGUCUGCCUACCAUGCAGCUAUUCUGACUGUAAAGCUUCAUGAAACAAGUCUGGCUGUGGCUCAAGAGGUCAAGAAUUUACGCUCAGGUGUUUCUCGAGCUGCUGUGGUCUGUUUAGGGGAUUUGUUCACCCACCUGAAAAAGAGCAUGGAUCAAGAACUAGAUAAUACAGUAAAAGUCCUUUUGCACAAAGCUGGUGAAUCCAACACAUUUAUAAGGGAAGAGGUAGACAAAGCACUGAAGGCUAUGGUUAAUAAUGUGACUCCAGCACGUGCACUUUGUUCUCUUAUAAAUGGAGGGCAAAGCCACCUGCACGCGGCGGUGAGGAGAUGCACAGCCCAGCACAUGUCGGAUAUUGUAGAGCGUAUGGGACCGGAGUGGAUGCUGGCUGGAACCAAAGUUGUCACUGAUAGGAUUUUCCCUGCAAUAGCCAGGUUUACACUGGAUAGUUCCCAGCAAACAAGGUAUUAUGGUCGAAAGAUGCUUUUCAGUAUGAUGAAUCAUCCUGAUUUUGAUAAAACACUUGAAAAAUAUGUGCCAGCCAAGGAUUUGCCUUACAUUAAGGAAUUUGUUAGCAAUCUACGUCAAAAGGGUUUGGGGGAGAUGCCAUUAGACACACCCUCAGCGAAAGGAAGACGUUCUCAUACUAGUAUUGUUGGGCAUUCAAGGUCAUCAUCUACUUCCAGAGAUGCUCUCAGCAUCACUGACAGAGAGACUACGGAAGCCCGUGAAGUUACAAGAAAAGCAGCUCCUCGUAAUUCAAUAGAAAGUGAAGAGUAUGUUAAAGACAUUAUAGGUUUAUUGAAUGCAAAAGACUUCCGUGAUCGAAUAAAUGGAAUUAAUCAGCUGUUAUCAGAUACAGAGAAGAAUCAAGACUUUGUUGUUGCAAACAUCGUGAAGAUCUUUGAUGCUUUCAAGCCUCGCUUACAUGACUCAAACAGUAAAGUAAAUCAGGUUGCUUUGGAGACAAUGUACAAGAUGAUUCCACUGCUGAAAGACAAUUUAUCUCCGGUGAUCAACAUGUUGGUUCCUGCAAUGGUAGACAACAACCUAAACUCCAAAAAUCCAGGGAUUUAUGCAGCUGCCACAAAUGUUAUUCAGGCUCUAUGUCAACACUUAGACAACUAUUUGCUUCUCCAGCCAUUCUGCACAAAAGCCCAGUUUCUGCAUGGAAAAGCAAAACAAGACAUCACAGAAAAGCUUGCUGAUCUGGUGGCGGAGCUGUACCCGCGGAAGCCGCAGGCCGUGGAGCAGAAGGUCCUGGCCGUGCUCUGGCACCUGCUGGGCACGGCGAGCAGCGGCGGCCCCGCACCGGGGGCCGGGGGCAGCAUCCGGGCGGCCACGGCCAAGCUGUCCCGGGCCCUGUUCGCGCAGAUGGGCCCCGGGCUGCUGGCACGCGCCGCCGCGCAGCCCCCGCACGUCAGGAGGAGCCUGGAGGAGUUCCUGGAGCUGCCGGCCUGA
ensembl:lncRNA